CCAAAGCUGGCGACCGGCGCACGGGUGAGUAACACGUAUCCAACCUGCCGAUAACUCGGGGAUAGCCUUUCGAAAGAAAGAUUAAUACCCGAUGGUAUAAUCAGACCGCAUGGUUUGAUUAUUAAAGAAUUUCGGUUAUCGAUGGGGAUGCGUUCCAUUAGGCAGUUGGUGAGGUAACGGCUCACCAAACCUUCGAUGGAUAGGGGUUCUGAGAGGAAGGUCCCCCACAUUGGAACUGAGACACGGUCCAA
rnacentral:rRNA from 1 species